rnacentral:rRNA from 1 species
GUUGGGUAGGGGAGCGUUCUGUAAGCCUGUGAAGGUGUGCUGUGAGGYAUGCUGGAGGUAUCAGAAGUGCGAAUGCUGACAUAAGUAACGAUAAUGCGGGUGAAAAACCCGCACGCCGGAAGACCAAGGGUUCCUGUCCAACGUUAAUCGGGGCAGGGUGAGUCGACCCCUAAGGCGAGGCAGAAAUGCGUAGUCGAUGGGAAACGGGUUAAUAUUCCCGUACUGGUGAUAAUUGCGAUGGGGGGACGGAGAAGGCUAGGCUAUCCGGGCGACGGUUGUCCCGGUUUAAGGAUGUAGGCAGGUGAAUUAGGCAAAUCCGGUUCACUAUAUGCUGAGGUCCGAYGACGAGUCACUACGGUGAUGAAGUAGCUCAUGCCCCGCUUCCAGGAAAAGCCUCUAAGCUCUAGAUUAUCAUUAAUCGUACCCCAAACCGACACAGGUGGUCAGGUAGAGAAUACUCAGGCGCUUGAGAGAACUCGGGUGAAGGAACUAGGCAAAAUGGUGCCGUAACUUCGGGAGAAGGCACGCUGGCAUUAGGUGAAGUGAUUUACUCAUGGAGCUGAAGCCAGUCGCAGAUACCAGCUGGCUGCAACUGUUUAUUAAAAACACAGCACUGUGCAAACACGAAAGUGGACGUAUACGGUGUGACGCCUGCCCGGUGCUGGAAGGUUAAUUGAUGGGGUUAUCCGUAAGGAGAAGCUCUUGAUCGAAGCCCCAGUAAACGGCGGCCGUAACUAUAACGGUCCUAAGGUAGCGAAAUUCCUUGUCGGGUAAGUUCCGACCUGCACGAAUGGCGUAAUGAUGGCCAGGCUGUCUCCACCCGAGACUCAGUGAAAUUGAACUCGCUGUGAAGAUGCAGUGUACCCGCGGCAAGACGGAAAGACCCCGUGAACCUUUACUAUAGCUUGACACUGAACAUUGAGCCUUGAUGUGUAGGAUAGGUGGGAGGCUUYGAAGCGUGGACGCCAGUCUGCGUGGAGCCAACCUUGAAAUACCACCCUUUAAUGUUUGAUGUUCUAACGUUGCCCCAUUAUCUGGGGUGCGGACAGUGUCUGGUGGGUAGUUUGACUGGGGCGGUCUCCUCCCAAAGAGUAACGGAGGAGCACGAAGGUUGGCUAAGCAUGGUCGGACAUCAUGCGGUUAGUGCAAAGGCAUAAGCCAGCUUGACUGCGAGAGUGACGGCUCGAGCAGGUACGAAAGUAGGUCUUAGUGAUCCGGUGGUUCUGAAUGGAAGGGCCAUCGCUCAACGGAUAAAAGGUACUCCGGGGAUAACAGGCUGAUACCGCCCAAGAGUUCAUAUCGACGGCGGUGUUUGGCACCUCGAUGUCGGCUCAUCACAUCCUGGGGCUGAAGUAGGUCCCAAGGGUACGGCUGUUCGCCGUUUAAAGUGGUACGCGAGCUGGGUUUAGAACGUCGUGAGACAGUUCGGUCCCUAUCUGCCGUGGGCGUUGGAAGAUUGAAAGGGGCUGCUCCUAGUACGAGAGGACCGGAGUGGACGCACCACUGGUGUUCGGGUUGUCAUGCCAAUGGCAUUGCCCGGUAGCUAAGUGCGGAAGAGAUAACCGCUGAAAGCAUCUAAGCGGGAAACUUGCCUUGAGAUGAGUCUUCCCUGACUCUUUAAGRGUCCUAAAGGAACGUUUAAGACUAAGACGUUGAUAGGUUGGGUGUGUAAGCGUAGCGAUACGUUGAGCUAACCAAUACUAAUGAACCGUGAGGCUUAACCUG